rnacentral:rRNA from 1 species
CCCGCCGGCGACCGGCGCACGGGUGAGUAACACGUAUGAAACCUGCCCGUAGCAGGGGGAUAAGCGGAAGAAAUUCCGUCUAAUACCGCGUAACAACCCAUGGAGGCAUCUCUGUGGGUUUAAAGGAAGCGAUUCCGGCUACGGAUGGUCAUGCGUCGCAUUAGCUAGUCGGCGGGGUAACGGCCCACCGAGGCGACGAUGCGUAGGGGUUCUGAGAGGAAGGUCCCCCACACUGGUACUGAGACACGGACCAGACUCCUACGGAAGGCAGCAG